rnacentral:rRNA from 1 species
CCUACGGGUGGCAGCAGUGAGGAAUAUUGGACAAUGGGCGGAAGCCUGAAGCAGCAAAGUAGCGUGCAGGAUGACGGCCCUACGGGUGGUAAACUGCGUUUAUACGGGAAUAACGCGCCUUACGUGUAGGGCUUUGCAUGUACGGUAUGAAUAAGGACAGGCUAAUUCCGGGCCAGCAGCCGCGGUAAUACGGAAGGUCCGGGCGUUAUCCGGAUUUAUUGGGUUUAAAGGGAGCGUAGGCCGCAUGUCAAGCGUGCUGUGAAAUGUCCGGGCUCAACCCGGGCCUUGCAGCGCGAACUGGCGUGCUUGAGUCCGCGGAAAGCAGGCGGAAUUCGUCGUGUAGCGGUGAAAUGCUUAGAUAUGACGAAGAACCCCGAUUGCGAAGGCAGCUUGCUGCAGCGGAACUGACGCUGAUGCUCGAAAGCGCGGGUAUCGAACAGGAUUAGAUACCCUUGUAGUC